GAUGAACGCUGGCGGCGUGCCUAAUACAUGCAAGUCGAGCGAACGGACGAGAAGCUUGCUUCUCUGAUGUUAGCGGCGGACGGGUGAGUAACACGUGGAUAACCUACCUAUAAGACUGGGAUAACUUCGGGAAACCGUAGCUAAUACCGGAUAAUAUUUUGAACCGCAUGGUUCAAAAGUGAAAGACGGUCUUGCUGUCACUUAUAGAUGGAUCCGCGCUGCAUUAGCUAGUUGGUAAGGUAACGGCUUACCAAGGCAACGAUGCAUAGCCGACCUGAGAGGGUGAUCGGCCACACUGGAACUGAGACACGGUCCGGACUCCUACGGGAGGCAGCAGUAGGGAAUCUUCCGCAAUGGGCGAAAGCCUGGCGGAGCAACGCCGCGUGAGUGAUGAAGGUCUUCGGAUCGUAAAACUCUGUUAUUAGGGAAGAACAUAUGUGUAAGUAACUGUGCACAUCUUGACGGUACCUAAUCAGAAAGCCACGGCUAACUACGUG
rnacentral:rRNA from 1 species